rnacentral:rRNA from 1 species
GAUAAACGCUGGCGGCGCACAUAAGACAUGCAAGUCGAACGGAAGUCGUUUUAGUGAGUUUGAGAUGAAAGAUUUAUCCGGAUUCAAUGAUGAUCUAAAACAAUGGCUUUAGUGGCGGACUGGUGAGUAACACGUAAGCAACCUGCCUGUUAGAGGGGAAUAACAGCGAGAAAUCGUUGCUAAUACCGCAUAUGCCAUAAGAACCACAUGGUUCUAGUGGGAAAGGAGUAAUCCGCUAACAGAUGGGCUUGCGUCUGAUUAGAUAGUUGGUGGGGUAACGGCCUACCAAGUCGACGAUCAGUAGCCGGACUGAGAGGUUCAACGGCCACAUUGGGACUGAGAUACGGCCCAGACUCCUACGGGAGGCAGCAGUCGGGAAUAUUGCGCAAUGGAGGAAACUCUGACGCAGUGACGCCGCGUAUAGGAAGAAGGUUUUCGGAUUGUAAACUAUUGUCUGCAGGGAAGAAACAAGACUGUACCUGCAAAGAAAG